AUUCAAAUCAAAUUAAAUGAGAGGGUUAACAUCUUUUUUCUUUUGAGAUCAAAUUAUAAUGUUGGGUCAGCUGGAACCAUAACUUGAAUGUACCUGCAAGUGUCAAUUGGGUGUAUUAGGUAUCACUUCGACAAUGCAUCAAGAUUCCUGACAAUUUGUCCGCUGUUCAAUCCUAUGUUAUGGUUUCCUAACUUAAAGUCUCUGUAGCAGUGACUUCAGCAGUUUUCUAGAUUAUGAGGUCUGAAAAGUUGACAGAUUUUUACUUAAAUGGGUAAAUAUGAAGUCCGCUUCCAGAAGGGAAUAGUUAAAAGCGCUGGAUACUCACUCUUUAGUGCCAUUCUAGUUUUCGAUUCCCUGGACUGGUAUC